rnacentral:lncRNA from 1 species
AACAAGAUUGCCUAUGCAAUUCUAGAGUUUCACAGCUACAUAUUCAUGGAAACAUCCAUUGCCCUUUGAAUUAUAUACAGAAAGGCAAAUGUGGUGGAAGAGAAAUGACCAGAUAAUGGAUGGAGGAGAAAGGACACAGGCCUGCACUUACCGAGCAGAGAAGCAGAACCAAAAUAACUUCGGCUAUUGUGUUCUUUGUAGUCAAAGCCCUUCCCACCUCCACCAAAGGCAGAACCAAUCUCUGAAGCAAUCUCUGUGUGGAGAAGAAUUCAAAUUUCCCUGAUGGGCUACGACAAAGCUGGAGGAUACAGAAAUAUGACCACCCAAUCGCCCUGCCCCAGGCCCCCUGGCUGGUACACAGCUCCCUGGGAAAUGGGCUGAGAAAGCAAACGUCGUAUGUAAUAGAUGUUCAAUAAAUACAUGGAUAAUCCCA